CACCCAACUCCAGCUCUUCUACGUGUGCGCAUGGAGAAAGGGAAUUGGGGCAAGCGGAGAGUACGAGAGAUUUGUGGGGUUCUGUUUUCUGUUCUUUCUCUCGAACCGGUAAGUGGCGUGUAAAAAUUGGUACGAGCCAUUGAGACGGAGCGCGCAGAGCGUCACUUUCCCGACUCCAACGAUUUGUACUAUGGGCCGCUCCGCUCCGGAUUAUGAAAUCUAUGGAGUUGACUCGUUCGGUGCGGCUCAGCCGGCUCCCGUAGCGGAGUUGAGGAGCGGAGGGCUCCCGAAGACCCCCUUAAUCUCUAUCUCCAUUUAACUUGUUGAUAUAGUACCAUGUCCAUUACAAACCGUUCUUUUGAUCUGCUGCUCUCCUUUAUUUCUUUCCAUUUUAUCUUACUUCCAAUUAUUAAUUUGAGGUUAAAAUCCUGAAAGUUAGUGAUGUAAUGCACCCAAAUUGGGGUAUUUUUUAUUUAUCACAAGAAAUGAGUGCUACUGUUAUGCGUUCAUUCUUGUUUUGUCAUUAUUCUACAAUGAUCAGCCAUGACUGUUCUUUCAAAGUGAGCUUCAUUUCUCUAUAGUCAACUCUCUAAAUGGUAUUCUUUUGAAUAUUUUCAGUGCCAUGUUUACUUAUUUUAUACACUAUCCAGUGAUGGUGAAAGACUUGGAGUAGAUCAUGCUAGCAUUUUCCCUAUGUGAUGACUAUGACCAAUAGUCAGCCUGCACAUCUUACUUUCAAUGUCUGCCCAUAUGGAUACACCCUGUGCAAAUUCUCUAUUUCCGCACGCUGGUGGUGUCAAGUACUUUGGCGAGCUGGAGGAACAUUGCUUUCUAGGGCAAUGAAGUGAAGCUCUACGAACGCCAUGUGGAUAAGCUCUUCACAAUGUUUGGACACAAAGAGCCAAAGAUCGACUAUUAUGUCUGCACCAUCAACAAGACGUUUGCCAAACCAGGCCAGGGCAUGUACUUUCAGGUGGAAUACACAGAGGAUGAGCUCCAUAAGUACAAUCAUGAAGAUGAUGACACUCUCUCACUCAAGCUCGUAGACGGCACAAUGACCUAUGACACCCGAUUCAUCCUUGGAACCGGCAAGAGGGCUACCAUCGCGACGAACUGGUCAUGGUUUCGCCACCACGCCAACAUCCACGAGGGUGAAAUAUGUGUCUUCCAUUUCAAGCGCAAAGCAGUGCGCCGCCUUUCGCGCACGGUCCAUCACGUCUACACGCAAUGAUGUCUCUGCUGUCUAUCGCGUAUGCAUAUGAUCCAUCUAUCAUCUUUAGCUUAUCUAAUACUUGAUAUUCCUGCGUUAUGAUGAUGCGAUGAACUCUGCCUCUCCUUUUGGAACAUCUUAGGCAUUGAUUUCAAUCAAUUGCUGUGCUAUAGCAUCCAGCUUGUAAGACUUUGACCUACCUGUUCAUAUAGACCUCCUGGUUGCUAUGCUAUAUUAGUCAACACUCUAAUGAUGUAUUUCUGUGAAGUGUGCUUUUUUUAAACA